rnacentral:rRNA from 1 species
AUACGGAGGAUCCGAGCGUUAUCCGGAUUUAUUGGGUUUAAAGGGUGCGCAGGCGGCCAUUUAAGUCAGCGGUUAAAUCGUGGGGCUCAACCCCAUUCUGCCGUUGAUACUGGGUGGCUUGAUUGCGGUCGAGGUUGGCGGAAUUCGUUGUGUAGCGGUGAAAUGCAUAGAUAUGACGAAGAACACCGAUUGCGUAGGCAGCUGACCAGACCGCAAAUGACGCUCAUGCGCGAAAGUGUGGGGAUCGAACAGGAUUAGAUACCCUGGUAGUCCGCACAGUAAACGAUGAAUACUUGUUUUCGGCGAUAUAAUGUCGGAGGCAAAGCGAAAGCGAUAAGUAUUCCACCUGGGGAGUACGCCGGCAACGGUGAAACUCAAAUGAAUUGGCGGGG